rnacentral:pre_miRNA from 1 species
UACAGAUGAAUGCAAUGUAUGCUUGUUACUUCACUACAGAUGAAUGCAAUGUUUGUUUGUUACUUCACCACAGAUGAAUGCAAUGUUUGUUUGUUACUUCACCACACAUUGCAUUCAUCUGUAGUGAAGUAACAAGCAUACAUUGCAUUCAUCUGUA